CGUUACACCUUGUUUAUCCCAAUGUGAACUAUUGAACUCUCUGCAAGUCAUUUGUUACAUUUGUUUCUCCCGAUGUACUGAAUAAAAGGUGUGGUAAGCUGGGGGCUUUUGUCUUUGCUGCGCAGAGCAGCACUGAUCAGACCCAAAGCUCAGCUUCUUCUCAGUCUCAUUUUUCUACCUUUCCUGUCAUUUGCCGUGUGCUGCCGUGGCUCGCAGGAGACCAGGACUCACUGCAGAGGUUCUGUUCAUAGUCCUUCAUGCGGAAAAUCUGGAGUUAGGAAAUUUAUUGUCCAAAGUCCAACUGAACAGUGGAUUCUAUGGAGAGCGAACAAAAAAUCGAAAUGCACCAUCAUCAACCAAAAUGAGCUCUGCAUCAAAUGAUGAACACAACUGGAGCCAUCUUUCCUACAUCAACAUGAACAUGGCCAUCUUUUGCAGAAUCGUGGAAUAAAUUAAGUUCAUGAACUGAGGAACAACUAAACCUUCUCAAGGGUAUAUUGCCUGGCCUCCAAAGCCUCAAUCUAAAAUCUGGAUCGUAGCCUACACGACCCUGCAACUUGCACCAUGUGGAUGACAAUAACGUCUUCCACCAGGUCAAAUAAUAACUAGGAUCCCUUGGACCAUGGCUCUGAUGGCCUCUAACCACCCUGAUGAAAUGAAUCCUGGGCAGCUAAUUUCCUAACAGGUCCUUAUUUAGCAGGCAUCCCAGGAACAUUUUAUUCUCAAAUGAAGAGUUUGCAGUUUUACACCUGGAGGCAACCACAGUCAUAGCAAGCAUCCCACCUCUCUAGCAAUAAUUAUCCACAUCAGUCACCUUCCCAUUUUCUUGGGUAAAGUACCUUACACCAAGAAGUCAAAGGUAGAGAGGCUUAUUUUGGCUCACAUGUCAAUCAACCAUGCCUUGGCUGGUUGGCUUCAAGGCAGAAGCAGCAUGGCAGAGGGCCAUGGUGGAGGAAAAGUGCUGAACCUGUGGCAGCCAGGAAACAGAGAGAGACAGGAGGACCCAGGAGGAAGAACAUACCCUUCUAGGUCACAACCCAAUAAAUUUCCAUCCCUGAUGAGGCCCUACCACUGAACAAAAGACCUGGGGGGACAUUUAUAUCUGAAGUGCAACACAAUUCUUUUUUAUGGUGAAUAUUUAAAUUUUCUUUUUAAAAAAUAUUCUUCCUCAUCUCUCCCCCUUCUCUUUCUCCUCCUCUAGUUCUCCUUUCCCCAUUUUCAUUCUUAUUGAUAUUAUUAGUCUUAGCACAUGUUUAUGGCAUAUAAUGUUUACAUUCAUUGAGGUUAUUAGGUUUCUGGUCUCUUAGCCCCCUUCCCAUUUGCAAGAGAUUCACUCCCUUGUCUCCUAUCCAUCCCCUGUUGAUCUCUUUUUUGUAUCUUGCCUUACUCAAAUGAAUUUAAAACAUCAUACUACAGCUAUACAUGAUAUCAAUGUUGAUAGCAGCACAAUUCAUGACACCUAAAUCCUGGAAGAACCCUGUAUAUUCAUCAACAGACAAUUGAAUAAAGAAAAUGUGAUACAUGUGUGUGUGUGUGUGUGUGUGUGUGUGUGUGUGUAAUAUAUUUGAAACAUUUGUAAGAAAUGGAUGUACCUGGAAAAUAAAAUGUUGAGUGAAGUAAAAUAGAUAUACAGGUUUAAAUAUUAUGUAGUAUGUCUCACGAUCCUUUACAUGAGAUGUGUUUAUUUGGAGCUUACAGCCCUGACAAUAUAAUCACAUCCUGAGGGUGAGGAAUUGAGCCUGGAGCAGUAGUUGGCAUGACAGUUUCCUGUCAGACAAUGUAGACUAUGUAGACUAUGACUACAUGUGAUGAUUAGCACAAAUGUGUCCUGAAUCCUUAGUAGUGUGCUCAGUAGGCCAAUUCUAUGGUUUUUGGGGGGGAAACCAUUACAUUUCAGGCCUAGAUCCUCCUUGUAUAACCUUGCAAUCAUUCUGUAAAUAUCUUGACUCUGUUUAAAUCCACUAAUGUUUAAACUAAUUAAAUCCUUAUUAUUAAUGUUUAUGGUUUAUAAUUCUGAACUAUUUCUUAUAGAUAAUGAGAGACAAAUAUGAGACCCCAACAUAGUUAAUAUGUAUAAUAUAAACAUUUAUGAAACCAUUUCUCAAAUCAGGGAGCUUUGAGCACUUACAUCACUGUGGUCAACAGCAGAGUCCACAUGGGAAUUAAAAAAAUAGUUUUUUAAAACUUUAGUAUAAUUCUGAAAUGAUAUCUAAGCUAUAAAACAUUGCCAAAUAGAAAAUUAUAAUUUUGUUUUUUAAAAAAAUGUGUCCCACAACUUAUUAGUCUUGCUGUUAGUUCAUGUACUAGGAACAUGUAUUUAAACCAAAUGGAAUUCUCAUGAUGGAAUUUCUUACAUCUCUGAAAAGCUGUGAUGCAUGUGACUCCUCAAGGAGGAGAUGUAGCAAGCUGCUUUCCAAAGAAACUUGUUGACUUCUUAAGGUUUUUGUAUUUUUGUCCUCCUCCUCCUCCUCCUCCUCCUCCUCCUCCUUCUUCUUCUUCUUCCUCGUCUCCUCCUCCUCCCCUUCCUCCUCCUCCUUCUCCUUUUUGUCUAUGUGUCUUUGUGGUAUCUAUGGGGGACUAGCAUCUUACAGAUAGAUUGCAGAAACAAGGUGUAGUGAGUUAUUAAGUCAUGAAAACUUUAACAGGAGUUGUAAUUUCUAAAGUAAAAGAACAUUAAACCAGUAGUCAAGCUCAUCAUGUGACCCUGUACCUCCUCUCUACUUUCCUAAGUUCUGAACUUUAAAAUAUUGGGCCAGAUGAACUCUGUGUUGCCUUCAGAUUCUAAUGUCCAAAAAUUGUCAGAAAGGCUCAGAAUAUUUCCAAACCAACCUGAAGGGGUAGCAUUCUGGAACAAUUGCUCUUUUCACUUGAUUUUUCUUAUCACUGUAUUUGAUGGUACAUCACUGUUCUGUCUCUUCUCAGAAAAAUUUCUGUGAAAUAAAGGAGUGGUGAUAGGAGACAAGGAGGUAGACUUUUUGGAGAUAGGAAUGGAGAUCUGGGGAACAAGGAAGAGAGGAGAGUGUGAGGAAGGGAAUAAAAAGUGAUCAAGAUAAAAUGAAUAUAAUUAUUAUGUAUUACAAACAUAUACUAAUAAAAAAGAAGCAAACAAUAUUAUUGGUGCCUAAUCUGCUGCAACUCCUUCAGAGAAUUCCAACCAUCUCAUAUUUAAUAUGUAGCUCCACAAUGAAUUAAUCUGGUGAAGGGAGGCAGGUUUUCAAAGAAUCACAGGGCUAUUGUUAAUAUCUUGUUAUUUUUGCCUGUCCUCUUUUCCUACCACUUAUUGCCUUCCUCCUCUUUUUCCUCUCUAUUGACUUCUCUCUUUCAGUGAUCUCUCACUUCCAGUCAGGUUGCUUUAACCUUAGGAAGUGCCUUAAACCUCACUGUAUACACAAUGUCUUGCACUAUGAACGCUACUUGAAGACAAGGUUUAUUUUGGUUACUGCUGUACAUUAUAAGAUCCAUUUUCCAUAAACUCAGUUGAACAGAAGGCUCAGAUACAGAGCCCAAUCUAGCAGGGUCUGGAGAUUUAGCUCAGUGGUUCCACCACCUGCCUCACAAGUGCAAAGUUCAGAGUUCAAUCCCCAGUUCAAAAAAAAAAUAUGCAAGGGGACUGGUAAAAGUCUACCACUAGUGGGCAGAUCUGAUAAUCUCCAUAGUUGACUCACUUUUAUUAGACAGCAAGAAGCAUAGGAGGAAGGAGAUGUGUCUCAUUCAUGGAAUAAUAAUGGUUGAAAAGAUAUUUUGAAAAAUAGGGAACAGAUUAAACUUUUACAAGGGGAGUAUGUGAAAGGGAACAGGUUCUUCCCUACCCUAUGCCUGCCCAAGGUAAUAAGGAACUAGCACUCUUUACAUUGUCCUCAGCAGAUGUCAUCCUGCUAUAGGAGCACUGAGGUUACGAGCAUUCCCCCUACACAGAAAGUAUGAAGCUUUCCACCUCCUUUUCUGUUUCCCAAGGCAGCUCACAUCAGCCUUGGGGCUGUGGGUGCAAUCACACAAUCUGGCCCCAGAAAUUUCUCACAUGCCCUGGUUCUGAACACCUUGUACAGUAUAUAUCAUAUGAUUCCUUUAUAAACUAUAUGAUGCAAUAAACGUGGAUAAUUAACUAUUAUGUAUAAUCAUAUAUAUAUAGUAGAUAAUCCUCCCCACAUGGAUGCAUGUCUGCACAUUUGUAUAUAUUUGUAUACAUGUGUGUGCAUAUGUAUAUAUUUUUCCUCUUUCUAACCCCCAAGUAUAUCAAAUUGAACUAAAUCUUAAUGUAAAAAUAGCACAAUUCCGAUCUGAAUUUCCUCUUCCUAGAAGAUAGAGCUAAACUUCAGAGCUUUGCUUAGAAUUUUUCUAAAUUAGAGUUGUGUAUGAGAAAGAUAAGAUGAUGAGAGAAAUUUUAACCACAGAGAAAGGAACUUAUAACAAAUUAAUUUUUUCUUUUUGAAAAGUUAUACUGAUUCUCACACAAUUAGUUGAAUGUUUUUCCAAAAGUCAGACCCAAAUAGAGAUCAAAAUAGUCAUUUUCACUUUUUGUUCCUUCAUUGGUAAAGUAAAUGUGAAAUAAUUUAUAAACUGUUUAAAUACUACUAAAAUCGAUAAUGAUAAUAAUAACACUCAUAGUCCUUUCACUUAGCUCAAGAGAAAAAUAUACUUGAUAUUUUUGAAAUUCCUCAUAUCUGUUUCUGCAGUUAUACUCCACUCCCAGACCCCAAAGUUAACCACUAAGCUAAAUUUGAUAUUGGUCAUUCCUCUUCUUUCUAUUAUAGUUUUCCCAACUGUGCAUGCAGCUACAUGAAAUUUAUGUUAAAGUUUGCUUCACUUUAACCUGAAUAUAAAUGGAAUCUUACUCUAAUCUUUUUUUUCUAUGGCUCUCCUCUUUCUUUCAAUAUUGGACUUUUGAGAUUUAUUCAUGUUGAUGUGUAUAGCUGAAAUCCUUUAUUUUCUCUGCUAUUUAAUAUUUUAUUAUAUGAAUGCCCAUAUUUGUUCGUAUAUUCUAUUCUACAUGAACAUUCGGAUUGAAGGGAGUUUUCCAUUGUGUUUUAUUGUUCCAUUUUUUCUGCUAAGAAUUCUCAGUCAUCUGUCUUUCUAUGUACCAAAUACACAGAACCCAAGGUCAUGCCCUUGGAAACAGGAUCCCUAUUCAAAGUACCCCACACCCAAAGUUAAAGGAAGAAAGGUUUAUUUAGCUCACAGUCUGUAGAGGUUUCAAACCAUAGUUGGCUGGCUUCAAGGCAGGGUGGCAUGGCAGAGGAGCAUCAUAGAGAGGAAAUAGUCCAUGAGAAGCAGGCAGGGGAGAGCACAUUAGCUUCUUUCUGUCUCAUAUUUUAGGCAGGCUACCUGCCCUAGGGUAGGUGUAGCACUCACACCCUUAAUUCUAGCCAGAAUUAUGCCAAACCAAUCAAUGGACUGAUUUAGUCAUCACACACCCUUGAGCCCAACACUACACACUCUAGAUCCAGCCACCUCUGAAAAGCCCCCACUAUGACUCUAUGAGGCUUUGGGGGACAUCUAAAUACAAGCCAUAACAUACACAGACAAAAACAGCACAUUCUGCUGUGUAUUAAAUAAACACUCACUGAGCAAUGACUGGGAAGACAGACUUACACAAGAUAAAAGACUCCUGUUCUCAAUUACAUUUUAAUGGAGGCCCAUGAGCCAUAAGCAAGCAAAUGAACAAAGAAGUGGUGAUCUGUCCCAUGACAAAAAAGAAAGAUAAUGAUGGACUAGAAGAUGGGAUCCUACUUUUGACUAGGUAAUCAGGGGAGACCCUCAGAGAACAACUUAAUAAAUAGGUAGAACAAUGGGAGUUACCAUUACAGCACUAGUCUAGGGCACUAAGAAGUACAAGCUGACAUUGCUGAGUAAAGAUAUGAUCAAGAGAUACAGUGAAUAUAUAAAUAAAAAUAGAGAAAAUUAUUAUAAUAAAAGACCUAUUGCCAUUAAUCCCCAUCAAAAUAUUAGCCCUCACUUCAAAAACACACAUCAUUCUCACCACCACACUGUGAAGCCAUUCAGGAAGUCCUCUUUUGUGUGUCUUUGGGGGGCUGUCUCAAUGUUAUGAAUUGACUCAAAACAUGGAUGGGACUUUCUGCUAAAUAACAACUUUAUAAUGUGUCCUUCUCAACCUUAUUCACUGGAUCUAGCAUCAAGCAUUUGGCUCUCUUAUAAAGAUAAAAUGAUCAGGAAAGGUGAAAGUUUUGAAUCAAUUCAAGACACAGAGGCAACAAUAAUGGUGCAGUUAGAGACAAGAAAGUAACCAACGUCAGGACUUCAGUUGCAAACCUAGACCAGACCGGGGAGAACCAGUGAUUCCACGUGCUCACCCUCACUGUCCUACGCCCCGAGGACUUUUCCUCUUCUCUUGGGCUCAGUGCAGACUUCCUGUUUCAGUGGAGCGAGAAGCCAAUUAAAAGUCAAUCACAGCUGGGCUGAACUAUGAGCAGCUCACUAGUCCUUGAAUUUCUCUUGUCCCUGCUAUAGCUGCCAGCUUCCUGGGAUCCUGAGUAAAACACUUUGCUAUAAACAUAUAAUGAAUUUGUAAUGAACUAUUGUUUUGUUGUAAGACAUUAAGAACUGAGAGUUGCUCUUGUCAUAUAGCUUAUCUAUCCCAUCACAAGAACAUUUUGAGACAGAACCUCUGAGUUCCUGUAACAACUGUCUUUAGGUUUAACUCUGAUCUUCUUAGGAUCCAGUGUCUCAGUUCUAAAUUAUUUGUUAAUUAUGAACAAUAUUAUGUGACAUAGUAGUGGCAGUCCUAGUAAAUAUUCACAUUUGUUUUUGGUUUUUGAGACAGUGUCUCGCUAUGCAGUUUAGGCAGGCCUUAAGCUCACUAUACAGUCCAGGCUGGCCUUGAAUCUCCCACAACCCUGCCUCAGCCUCCCAGGUGCUGGGAUUGCAAGUGUGUACCACCACUCCUGGUGAUAUUCACACUUUAAAUUUGUGUGCUACUCAUAUUGCCUUCUAUCCUCACAACACCUCUCUGAGGGAAGUAUAAUUCCAUCAUUAUGGCUUAAAAUCAAUAAUAAAAUACAGAUUAAAAUUACCUGGGCCUAAAGAGGUAAAUUUACUGUCCUUGUCUAAUUUGCAAAGAGGAAACAGAAUGAGGAAGUGAUUAAGGGCAUUUGGCUUUGAAAACACACACAUCUGAGUACAAGAAUUGGCUUCUGCCACCUAAUAGCCACUUGCUAUUGGCUAAGCCAUGUAACCUGAGUCUCAAUAUUCACAGCAGCAAAAAUGGAGAUGCUAAGAGUCUGCGUCUGUAUUAUUCAGCUUUCUCAUUGCACCUAUAUAGUAUCUGACACCUCUAACUUAAAGGAGAAGAGGGUUAACUUGACUCUUGGUUUCAGGGAAUUCAGUCCAUGGCCAGCUGGCUCCAUGGGUGAAUAUAAUAGCAUAAGGGGAUGGGGAAGCAAAGCUGCUUAGUUCUUGGUGUCUAGGAAGCAAAACAGAAACAGUGUCAGCCAGGAAACUAGCCAGGGAUCAUACACAAUACUCAAAGUCUUGCUUCCAUGACCCACCCAGAAAUACCCAAUAUCCUCAACAAAUGAUCCCAAACACUUCAUCUUAACAGCCACAGCGUCCUACAAAGUUAAUGUGCUAAGUGAGAUAAUUAAUUAGGUACUUAUUAUUUUAUCCGGCAUAUAGGAAGGUUAUAGUAAAUAUUAAUGUUUAUGAUUUUUUAUAAUCAUCAAUUCUGUGUCAGAACUAUUCAUGUCUUAUUGGGCACUUUGUGCUCAGUUCUGGAUACUACUUUGCAAUAUAUUUAUUUAUAAAUUAGAAUGUCACCAGAAUUUAGUCAGAGCAAUAUUUGAGGACCAUGUCAUUUGCAUGAAGAUCAUCUGAUAUGAAACAAUUGAAAAUAUUUAGUCUGGGAAAUAUAAGCUUCAGAUCAUUAUUUUAUAGUAUUUGAGAGGUAAUCAUAAGAGGAAGGAUUCAUAUGUUACAGAAUUCCAGAGCAACAGCAGUGGAGGUGGGGGGACUUUGUAACAGGCAGAGUCACUUAAAACGCAGCAGACUGCCUGGUGUGAGCUUGUCCAGCUCUUCAUGGCUCACAAAAGCAACUCAUCCCUGGUAACAGUGAGUGUGCACUGAGUUGAGAGGAUGAACUAACUGAUUUCUGUAAUCAGAAUGAGUUUCAAGGUAGAGGCUUGUCAGGAUCCAAGUGAUUCAGAGACUGUAUGGUUUGUACAGAUAGGUAGUCGUCUAUCUGGGAGGAAUUCUAUGGUUCUGGCAUCUAGGUUGUUUUAUGUACAAAUAAGAAUUCAGGGCUUCUUUUAGAGAUUUUCCUAGAAACAAAGAUACAUGGGAAAUUCAGUUUGUUGUAGGCAGUAUAUUUAUUGUAGAGUGUGGAUUACAAAUUAGAUCCUCAAUUUAUUUUUAAUUUAUUUAUUUAAAAUUUUUCUCAGCCCAAUGUGCUUAAGCUUCGCUGGGGCAAAGAUUGUGUCUAAAUUGUUCACUUAUCUGUUCACAAUAUCUAGAAAACUACACGGCCUAUAACAUAUACAUAAUAAAUAUUUGAGGAACAAAUAAAUGAUAGAGGAAUGGAAAGGAUUUAGUGACUUCUUUGGUUGGAAAAGGAGUCAGGAGGAGACCAAAAAAUCAAUCAUAAUUCUCAGAAUAUUGGCUUAUGUAACCAGUUACGUUGUUCUACCAUCCAUCUCAAUAGGGAACAUGAGAAAAUAAUAGAUGUUCUGGGUGAUUUGGGGGUGAUUGAGUUUAACUUUUGAUAUAUUGUGUGAGGUGCUUGUGGGACAUCCACGUGGAAAACUCUUAGUAACAACUUCACACAUGCAUCAGGAGCUUAGGUUAGGGAGGGGCCGGCAGUCGUCAUUGUUUGUAUUACAGGUAGAAACACAAUAGUGGCAACCUGUGGGGUCCAAGGAGGUCCCCCAAAGAGAAGAUGGGGCCUGUAACUCAUCUCAGGUAGGCUUGCCAAUUGCCAUCACAAAAAUAGCCUUUCAGGAAGCAUCAGUGGGAGGCAUGGCACAUUUAUUACAAAGAAUUAGAAAGCAAGAGAAAAUAGGGAAGAGGCUUCAGCUUGAGCAGCUCUGGGCAGCACAGCUCUGAUGAAAAGGGUCAGAGUGGCCUCUAAAUAAAGAACAAGACCAGCACUGAUGGGUUAGCAGAGGUGGGCUAGCAUCUAUUGAUAACCAUCUCCAUUUGGGCUCUGCCUGAUGGCUCCUGAAGUUCUUGAAGGGACCAUACAGUCUCCAUCAAAUAAUUGCUUCCCUUUGAGAAUAGCCUCAGUUUUCAGGAGGCUUUGCUGGGAUUUAAGUGACUGGAGGCUUAGCACAAUAAUUGGAGCCUUCUGGGACUCACUGGCAGUUGAGCAUCCCUGUCAAUAUCUUAUGUUGGUGUCCUCCGUCUGGCACAGGCUGAGAUUGGCUAUACGCAUUCUGGGCCAAUCAGUCUUAUCUUGCCAACUUCAGUCAGGCACUCCCCAAAUGAUUGACAUGCUUUUAUGUGGAGUUAAGGAGACAUUUGGCCCAAAAUCUAAAGGUAAUAAAGAAAAUAGAUGCAAAAUGAAGGUCAAGCUCCCUUCUGCUUUUAGUUACUUAUUGGGCAUCGAUAGGCCCAAGUUAAGAGUCCCUGGUUUUUUGUUUGUUUUUAGUAAAAAGAGUUUUUAAGUCUCUGACUGUUUCAGAAGAGAACAAAACUGUUUCAAUUAAGUGACAGAAUAAGGGUCUGGGAGUUUGUGCUCUGGCCCAACAGCGGACUCUGACUAUGCCAGGAGUACCUAAGAUCCUACGGAGAAUAUAGGAAGUGAGAUGGGAGGCAGGGGGAGCAGAGAAUUAUAGGGAAUCAAUAAUAAUGAAUGAAAUUGGCAGAGAAAGGUAGCUUCUUGCAGGAGAACCAGAAAAAUGCAGAAGACAUAUAGGGAAAUAGCAAUUAAAUCAGAAACAUCACAAUAGCGAACUUUCUUGUAUCUACAGAGAGUUUAAAAGUUGAGGUGACCUUCUCAAUAUUCUGUCACCGCAACAUCAAAACCGUUUAAGAGCCAAGAACCUUAAGUCAUGAUUCCUAUCUUUAGCAUCCCUAAAAUUUGACCUCACACCUUUGCUGGGACAAUUCCGGUGAAGCCAAGUCCACUAUUUUAUUAGGCAAAUAAUUUGUGACCCAAGAUAAAGAUAAAAUGUAUAUGGAGAAAAUUAAAUGAAAGUUGACUUAAUUUUUUCUAGUUUUUAUUUAGACUUCUAUAUAUAAAAAAACAAACUAACAUAAAAUGAUAUCCCAUCCAAGAAGAAGAAAUGAGGAGAAUCCAGUCCACACUCCAAGCCCCAGGGACAACUUUCAAAGUACAGGAUUCUGACUUAAUAAAGGGCCGAGAUCAGGCCAUCAAUAGUGAGUUAAACCUACCCUGAGAGAAUUAAAGAAAUGAAAAUGCAUUUAUAUGAUGGAGAGAAAGUGCCAGUAGGGACUAAGGAGACAACUUACUAAAUGAAAUUAAUGAUGACUCUAAAUUGGCUUCUCUCUCAAAUUCAUUUUAACAUCUGCCUUGAACAAAGAAAAUAAAACAGCAGUCUAGAUAAUUUAAAAAUAAUAAAGACAAAUUUUAAAAUUGGUAGUAAUGAUAACCUUCUGUGUGCUUAAAUAUACAUAACUUUGGAAAGCUGUAGCUCUGUAGUGAGGAUUAGCACAGAAUCCCCAUGGGUACAAUAUCCAAUAAGUGAGAAGUACUAGAAAGUCACACAUCACAUAUGUACCUGCAAGCCCAUCCCAAUAUGUGAAAUAGUAUCUUUUAAACUGUGCUCUCUAGUAUUUGACCCAAGUCCCAUUAACUAUUUAUAUUUAAUUUAAAAAUAAUUAACAUUAAAUAAAAACAAUAAUUCCAUUUCUCAGGUGUACUAGCCAUAUUUAAAGUGAUCCGAGAGCUAUAUGUGGCUAGUCAAUACUCCACUGGACAGUGCAGAUUAGAGAGCAUUCUUAUCAGUGUAGAAAGUUUUCCUGAAAUGCUCUGAUUCAAGUGAAGUCCUUUAUGUUGGACCUUCCUGAGGCUCCCAGUUUAAUGUUAGUAGUGUUAAGCCAUGAAAAUAAAUUAAUAGGUGGCCCAGAUCAACACAGGAGAUUUUUUUUUGUAAUUCACAAGGAUUGAUGGUAGCAAGGAGUAGUAAGUAAAGUGAAUCUAUUAUGUAGCAGACUUUGCAUAUGUUUAGGUUUAUUCCUGAAAGCCUCUGUUAAUAGAGUAGAUCAUUAACCUAUGGGCUUCUUGACUCCUCCUGCAGUUCCCUUCCUAACCUGUGUGACAGGAACAUAGGAGGACACUGGAGGCAAAAGUCAGGUACUCAGCACAUGGCAUCAUUUAGCACAAAACAGAAGAGAUGAUGCCAUGAAAACAGUUGGGAGCAUUAAUUGUAGAGUCCGGAGGGAGAGAAUAAUCAGACACCGGAGUCAGAAUUGACGAGGAAAUCAAAAGUACCCCCUCAAAUUGACGGACCAUCAAUUUUGUUUUAUCUAAAGCUCAUAAGAUAAUCUACCAAGUUUCAGGGGCCAGCCCUUGGUUUACAUGCUACUAGCUUUGAAUAUUGAACAUCCCACAGUGUACCUUCUUGAUAAUGUACUGUGAGAAUCCACGAUGAGCUGAUAUGACUUACCGAGGAGUAAGAACAUGAAAACCAGGGAGGGGUAGUCAAGAGAUCACUUGUAUGCAGAGGAGAAGACCACUGCUUUCCUUGAACUUCCUUUUUAUGAAGAAAAAUAAGAAUCCACAAUAAAAUGAGCAUGGACAAUGGUUGCUCAGACUCACUGCUUGGUGAAAUGAUUGAAACGUGACCUUCAAGGUCUUCUCGCAGGAAAGUUAUGAAUGACUUCAAGCUUUGUGCUGGGUCAUCAGUGCACUGAUGCCAUGCUUAGUCAAAUAAGUGACAAACAGUCAGGGCUAUAUGCUCUUAAUGACCACAUCUUAGCGGCCUUACAAGUUCUUAGUCAGCUUAGUAAGUAAAUGCACAGAGCAAAGUGUAAAUGCUUAUACAUGUGGCCGGUUGUAGCUAAAUAGAACAUAAUCUUUUUUUUUUGUUUUUUGGUACCGGGGAUCGAACUCAGGUCCUUGCACUGCGAGGCAGGCGCCAGAUCCACUGAGCUAAAUCCCCGGCCCUAUAACUUUAAUUUUAUCUUUAUGGAAAAGUCAGUAAAUACAUAAUACGUGAAUUACCUUAUCUGUUGCCAUAAUAAGCGAGGUGGUAACUGCCUAACUGUGGUACAGCUUCAUAACUGGCAAGCAAAUGCCCCUUUGCCAUACCUUUCGUACAUAUAAAUCAUUGCACAAAAUGCCUGCUAUGUGAGAGUCCUGGGUGUCAUGGGAGCAACGUGAGUGUGAGAGCCACACUCCCACUCAUUGUGAAUCCACUCAUUUGAUACCAACAUAUUGACACUCAGAGGAUGUUUCACCGACAAUAAGCUGGCUUUUUAUUUAAUGUUAAUACAGGUGGACAGUAAUAAAGAAAAUAUUUGAAAAACACUCUUCUUACUUCUAUGAAAACAGUAAAACAAAAUUUUGUAAAAAUAACUAGAGAAUAACACUAGUUAAUGUACUAUGUGCCAUAAUCUUAAAAGAAUGGCCAAAAUCUUACUCAGAGUACAAAUGGUAGACCAAAACUACUGUGUUACAUACAAGAAACAAAUACGUAAUAGCACAGAAGUUUCUUUGCAAUGAACUAAGAGAAACUAGUAGUACAAAUGAAAUAAAUUAGCAUAUAUAUUAAAUGUGAUAUUUAUACACAGUGGAGUACUACUCUGCCACAAAGAAAGAUAAACUUGAGGCAUUUGUAAACAAAAAGAUCCAACUUGAGAACAUAAUGCUAAGUGAAUAAGUCAGACACACAAGGUUAAAUAUUGCUUAUAUAUGAGAAAUAUGUGUAGGGAGCCACGGCCUGUAGGUCUGUAUCUGGUCCCUUGCCCAUUCUUCUCUGAAGCUCUUCCCCUGCUCUGUUUCUUGAUGCCAUGACCUAAGAAGCUUUUCUGCAUCACAUCCUUCUGCCGUGAUGUCAGUGCCUUAAAGCCAGUGAUGAGCUCAAAUCAGGAGUGAAUUACACCUCUCUGCUUUUACCUCGUGGAUGCUGGGCAUUGUGUCUCAGCAAGGAGAAGGCUGACUAAUAGAAUUAGCAUUACCUCUGUGAGGGGCUGGAAAUUUGAAUGUUUUGUUCACCACUGUAUGCCACCAGGGAUUGUAGCCCCUAAUGAGUAUCCAAUAAAUGUUUCUGGUAUUGAGUAGAUGCAAGAGGAAGGCACUUUGCAUGCCAUGUUCAGAGCAAGGGUGGCUCGUCUGCUUUCCAGUGCCUGCCAUCAAACCUGCAAAUGGCCGAUGACCCUCACAGUGAGAAUUGCUAGAGGGGGAGAACAGCUUUGAUGAAGCAAACUAUAUAUACCCACUUUUCUAUGUGUAUAGGGAAAAAAUAACUUGAAAGUUAGCACUGACCAAUCUCAUUUUAAGUAUCGGUGAGGAGAAAUUGAAUAAAUAUGAAAAUGAUGAAAUUAUUACUAAUGGAUGCUAAAGAAUUGUGAAGAAAACGUGCUCCAUGGAUCUGUGCCCCUCUCCCAGCAGCUGCUAGAUGAGCUCUUGAGCAGAUUCAUAGCUGGUCAUGAAGGGUUUAGGGUGUUGUAACUCAUCAUCAUCGAAUGUCUCCUUCCUUGCAAUAUGUGUGCAUCCCAGAUCAUAGAGCAGCUGCUCACCGGUGCCUUCCUGGCUUCUUUGUCUUACUCUGAGCUUUACUUUUCUUCAUGGCACCGAGCACUUCUUGAAGGAUGCUAUUUUGUGUUUGCUUACUCAUUGUUUAUCUGUCUCCUUCAGGGACAAGUAAGCUCUAUUAAGCCAAGGACUUUGCCAUAGUCUCUAUUUUCUCAGCACCUUGAUAAGGACUGACAGAAAGCAGACACGAGGUGUGAAAGGAAAAUGAGUUAAUAAACAUCUUUCUCUUUGGGGAGAGGGCGGGGAAAGGGGAGGCGCAGAUGGCCAAAGAAGGCCUCCGCCUUGGUGUGCCUCUCCACUGCUUACGCCAGCAAAGUCAAAGCAUGCCUGAGGAAUUGAAGCUCUUUCAUGGUUUUAUUCAACAAAAGCUCACAGAUGUGCACAGGACUGGAGGACAGUGACACACACGUGGUUUCAGCUUAGAAUUCAGCAAGGGGGAAAGGUCAAAUUAAGAACAACAGCUCUAGUCAGGUCAGGCAGUCAGGCCAAGCAAUCGCUAAAGAUUGUUGUGAGUUCCAAAACUGUGCCAAGCAGGGCCUGCCUUCCAGGGUUGAAGUGGCCAGGAAGGCUGUGUUGGGAAAGACAAACUAUACCCUACUUAUUUACUCUUCAGUGAACGUAUUCUUCCCAAAACACUGGCUUUGGCAGCCAUACCAACUAGCAUCAUUCUUCUAGUCUUCAUUUAUUAAAGCACAUCUCACCUCCACCUCAGACAUUUAACAUUUACUUAUAUGUACUUUUCUUUGGGAGCCUCGCUUAAUGAAUUCUUUCUUUCCCUAAACAUAUGCAUUCAGUCGAAAGGUAUUCACUGUAUGUGCAGACCCUACGCAGAAUAUGAGUUGUCUUGAGUCUGUAGUACAACAAGUGUGCAGACUUAACCAUAAUAUCGGUCAACCAUAGGAAUUAUAACAAAGCCCUGUAGGAAGAGAGAGGAGAGGGUGACUUCUUUUCUUUGAAAGACCAGAUGAACAAGUGCCAAAUGUGUGAAAGGUGAGUCAGGUUUUAUCCGGUGGUGAAGGGGGAUAUUGUCAUGGGAAAAAAAUGCAGUGAACAGAAAUAUGAAACAGUGUGAUGCACAGUGGAAAUCGUUAGUGAUGCUGACCUGAGGUGUACUGAGUUCUGGGAGGCUGGACUGGAGGUAUGCCUUUGUAAUUUAAGAAGAUCUUUGGAUCUUUUUCUAAGGAGUUUAAACUUCAUGCUGCAGGCGUGUGGGAGAUACAGUUUAAAAGGGGAGGCGAGAAAAUAAUUCUGUAUUUGAACAAUAAUUGCAGGAGAGGAGUGAGGUAGGAAGUGAUUAAAUGGUCACACCAGGGAUGACAACUUUCACAACAUUUUUAAAUGAUUGUGCAAAAUGUUCUGGUGUAGAAACCCAAAAGCUAUUUUAGGGAGUAGAAUUUUAAAUGACUGUAAUCUUUAGGUCAAGUUCCUUAAUCUCUUUUAAGACCAGCCUUAUUUUACUUUUGCUAUGAUUUUGAAGGGUUUUUAAAGCACUUUUAAGUUUGUUAAAAUAUUUGCCAGUUAUGCUCAAUUUUAAAUUUUAUGCUUGCUGGGUCAUAAUUCUUAAAAUUAUUAUAGUAAUAAGGAUGUAAUGGUAUAAAGAGAAGAUAGAACAUUAACUCAAUUUGAAAGUUUUCCAUAUACCAGGUGCUAGAAGAAACUCUUAUUUUUUACAAAGACCCUAAGAAGGUGCUGUCAUUUCCAUCUUGCAGUUAUGGAACUUAGGACAAACCAUUCAAGGGAAUAGCCCAAUAUCCCACAGUUAUGUGGUGGCAGAGGUGCUGGCCCAUAUUUCAUUGGCCUCUAGAACCCAUUUAUUUCCAUUGCACCACUAUAAAUAUAUAUAUAUUUGUAAUAUUUGUAUACUCAUUAUAUAUAUUUAUUUAUAUUUAUUUAUAUAUUUUUUGUUUUCUGAGACAGGGUCUCACUAUGUAGUUUAGGCUGGCCUUGAACUCACCAAGUAGUCCUCCUGCCUCAGCCUCCUGAGUUCUGGAAAGCAUUUUUCAGCAGUAACUCCCCAAGACAAGAAGUCCCAGUCAUACGCUUGGAGCUGCUGCCCUAGCCUGAGCAGUACCGAGUGGAUGGACCUGUGGGAGAGAUGCCCAGAAGCCAGCAGAACCAGCUCCUGGGACCUGGGUGUCGCUUUGAGAGAGAAAGCCCAUGCAAGGACACAGAAAGUGGCCACCUAUCAGCAAUCAAGAGAGACCUGUCCAGAAAACAAACCUGGAAUCAUCUUGAUCUUGGACUUCUAGCAUCCAGAACUGUCACAAAAUAAAUAUCUAAGCUUUAAACCACUGCAUUUGUCGCAUUUUGCUGGAAGAAUAACCCAACACACAGCCAUCUACCAGGACGAUUGUAGUAGUUACAUCUCCAGGGAAAACACUACCAUAGACAUCAUGUAGGAAUUUCCAAGAUAGAAUUUCCUGAAUGGCUCAGGAAGGCUUCUGAGAGGGAGGAACAAUGGAACUGAGUCUGAAUGGUGAGAAGAAACUAGUCAAAGAGAAAGCCACGCUCAGUGGAGAAUUAAAGUAUUCUAGGAAAUGGACUCUAGAUGCCCAGUGCAGAGGCAGACAGAACAGUGCGGGUUAUAGGUAGGGUCAUAGGCCGAGGGGUGGGAGGCGGAGCUGAGGAUCGGGCUCUGGACCUGCCAGGGGUCCUAAGGGGGCUUCACACUCCUUGCCAAAGAUUCUCUGUUUCAGAAGGAUAAUUUUGUAAUUGUUGUGGACAUGUUCUUUGAAAUCCAUUUUAUUUCUAACACUACCAUUUAAUAUUUGGUUUUAUUGGCCACGUUCAUUGAUUACUCUUUGUUGUUGUUUGGUUUUUUUGAGAAAUGGUUUACUGUGCUAUCCAGGCUGGCUCUGAACUUGAGAUUCUCCUGCCUCGGCUUCCCAAGUAGCUGGAACUACAGAUGUAUACAACUGCACCAGGCCCUUCCCAAG
rnacentral:lncRNA from 1 species